rnacentral:rRNA from 1 species
CAAUAGCGUAUACUAAAGUUGUUGCAGUUAAAAAGCUCGUAGUUGAAUUUCUGGUUGUGAAAGACGGUCCAUUCCUCAAGGAAUGCGUUACUAUUCAUUCAUGGCCAUCCUCGGGGAGAAUGUGUGUUACUUUCAGUAGUCGCGCACAGGAACCCCGUCAUUUACUGUGAGCAAAAUAGAGUGUUCAAAGCAGGCUUAUGCCGUUGAAUAUAUUAGCAUGGAAUAAUAAGAUAUGACUUUGGUCUAUUUUGUUGGUUUGCUUUCCAAAGUAAUGAUUAAUAGGGAUAGUUGGGGGCAUUAGUACUUAACUGUCAGAGGUGAAAUUCUCCGAUUUGUUAAAGACUAACUUAUGCGAAAGCAUUUGCCAAGGAUGUUUUCAUUAAUCAAGAACGAAAGUUAGGGGAUCAAAGAUGAUCAGAUACCAU